GACGAACGCUGGCGGCGUGCCUAAUACAUGCAAGUCGAACGCUUCUUUCCUCCCGAGUGCUUGCCCUCAAUUGGAAAGAGGAGUGGCGGACGGGUGAGUAACACGUGGGUAACCUACCCAUCAGAGGGGGAUAACACUUGGAAACAGGUGCUAAUACCGCAUAACAGUUUAUGCCGCAUGGCAUAAGAGUGAAAGGCGCUUUCGGGUGUCGUUGAUGGAUGGACCCGCGGUUCAUUAGCUAGUUGGUGAGGUAACGGCUCACCAAGGCCACGAUGCAUAGCCGACCUGAGAGGGUGAUCGGCCACACUGGGACUGAGACACGGCCCAGACUCCUACGGGAGGCAGCAGUAGGGAAUCUUCGGCAAUGGACGAAAGUCUGACCGAGCAACGCCGCGUGAGUGAAGAAGGUUUUCGGAUCGUAAAACUCUGUUGUUAGAGAAGAACAAGGACGUUAGUAACUGAACGUCCCCUGACGGUAUCUAACCAGAAAGCCACGGCUAACUACGUG
rnacentral:rRNA from 1 species